rnacentral:misc_RNA from 1 species
AACUGGAGCAGCUGCAAUGAAAGCCAUGCAGAAGGCAACGAAUAUUGACGAUGUUGACAAAACAAUGGAUGAAAUUAAUGAGCAGACUGAGAACAUGAAAAUGAUUCAGGAAGCAUUGUCUACACCAAUUGGUGCAGCCGCUGAUUUUGAUGAAGAUGAGUUAGAGGCAGAACUUGAAGAACUGGAAGGAGCUGAGUUGGAGGAACAACUCCUUCAGCCUGCUACUACUGCUCCUUCUGCACCUAUUCAUAUGCCUGCUGGUAGGCAACAAGUGCGUCCUGCUGCCCAACACAGCAGAACGGAAGAAGAUGAACUUGCUGCUUUGCAGGCUGAAAU